rnacentral:lncRNA from 1 species
UCUCACCAAUGCACCACAAUGCAGCAGUUUCUUAUAGCCCAAGGUAUCACCCAAAGUUCCUGGUCUCACGAUCAAGAAAGUUAUGGAAUGCAGACACCAAUGAAUUAUUUUCCCUUCCACAAUUCUGGUUUCAGAGCCAUACCACCACCCUUACGUCCUGUCCCCAGACACACUUGACCCAGGAUUGGCCCAUGGAGUGCCCCAAGUCCAUCCAUUUAAGAGCCUUUUCCAGGACGAAAAAUAUAACUGGAUCUGAGAGAGAAAACAGUCUUCUCAAUGAUUGGUAUAUGGGCCCCAUGCUGCUGCUGACUAUGUUCCUUCCCCAAGAUAGAAAAAUCAUGGCAGCGGGAGAGAAUAAUGUGCAAGAAGAGAGACGGCAGAACAUCUGUUUUGUUGAAGAGCACAGCAAUGUUUACUGGACUAAGAAAUGGGCCUCUGCAGGUGAGCAACAACUUGGAUAUGGACUGGUUUCAAGAGGUAUCAUGAGAUGGUGCUGAAAGAAGAACAAUUAAGCAGAUAAUACAUCUGAAAGCAAGAUAAGUCGCUAUGGGUUAAGUAGAAGCCUGAUAACUAAACUAUUUUAGCUCUUAUAAGAAAAGAAACAAGAAAAAACAUCCAAUAAAUCUCCAGAUAAAGAAUAGAGACUCAUUUCCUAACUCAUCUUCUCUCGGGAGAAGAGAGAACUGAUGAAUAUUCGACUUCAUCAUCAUUUGGAAUCAGAUUCAGCUGGAGGAAUGGGGAUCUGCAAUCCUUUGACAUCAUUACAUUAACAAAAAGAGAAAGCUUUUGACCUCAAAUGAAAAAUCUCUUCCCUGUCAUUUAAAUAUUAGCCAUUAAAUCUCUGCUUCCU